GAUAAUUAGUACCAAAGACAAUUGUCCGAUUAUCCAGUUCUAACUAGAAUUCCAAACCCGAAUUCUUCGUUCGAUGGAUUCAUAUGCUGUCCGACUAUACUUUCCAUUCAAGCUCAAGAAUUGCAGCUCGCUUUGGAGUCCCCCACUUCUUUUUCUCCCCUCAACCUUCCCUUCAAAGAAUUCUUGCAGGUUCUUGGAAAACGGCAUUAGCAGUAAAGCCCACAAGAGCACCGCUUUCGACGACGCCGCUUUUGAGGUCGAAAGGCUCCGCCUUGAUGCCGAGGCGCGGGAAACCAUGGCAGAGACUUCUAAGAGAGAGAUGGACCAAAAAAACGAGCCGAAAGCUUGGAAAUGGGUAAUCCGAAAAAGAAUUUGGGACAAAAUGGAGGCCCAGAACUUCGCUCAAAACCCGCGACCCGUUCACCACCGGAUUCCCAAUUUCGUGGGUGCUUCAGUUGCUGCUGACAAGAUGAGGGAGUUGGAUGUGUUUCGUGGUGCACAAUGUGUGAAGGUUAACCCAGAUUCUCCUCAAAAGCAAGUCAGAUUUCUUACUCUCUCAGAUGGUAAGAAGUUGUUAACUCCUCAGCCACGUCUAAGGACUGGAUUUUUCUCUGUUGUUGAAUCCCAUAUGUUAACCCCGGGUACCAUCAAGGAAGCCUGUACCUCUGUUGGGGUUGCCAAGCAUGGGAAGCCAAUUGGAUUAGAUGAAAAGAUAAAGGUAGAUCUUAUUGUCAUUGGAUCAGUUGCUGUUGACCCAAAAACAGGUGCUCGAUUGGGAAAGGGAGAGGGGUUUGCAGAACUAGAGUAUGGGAUGCUGCGUUAUAUGGGAGCUAUUGAUGAUUCAACACCUGUUGUCACUUCUGUGCAUGAUUGCCAAUUGGUGGAUGAUAUUCCGGUUGAAAAGCUGUUAAUCCAUGAUGUGCCUGUGGACAUUAUAUGCACUCCAACGCAGGUCAUUUUCACCAACACAUCAAUUCAGAAGCCUCAAGGGAUUUAUUGGGACAAAUUAUCUCCUGAAAAGCUUGGACAAGUUCGAAUACUUAGAGAGCUCAAGAGGAGGAUCGAGCGACAGACUAAUCAGAAACUUCCUACUGGUCCCUCAGAGGAGUUGCCUCCCACAGCUCAACGAAGACGGAUCUAUAAUUGGGGAAGGCGAUCGGAUGUGCUACAAAGUGUGAGAGGCUCUACUUCUUUGAUAAUGCUAGCAUAAGUUCCUAACAAGCCAUUAGUGCUAAUAGUUUUUCCUCUCCAAAACCCACAAAUGCAUAUGAGGUGGGUCUUUGGCUCAACUAGCUUAAUUCAUCGACUGCUUUCUUGGCUUGACUACUCUGUAUCGACUUACUUUUGUGCGUCACCAUUGUAACUGACUAAUAUGCAUCUUCGAUUUUAAAACAAAUUCAAGGGUCUUGAUUUCUGUUUUUGAUCAGGAUAUCAUGGACCACAAAAUUGCCACGUCUUUUCCCUUAAAUAAAAACACGUCUUCCUAAUUUUUCUGCCACAUCUUUUCCCUUGGAUAAAAACACGUCUUCCUUAUUUUUCUGUCUUGAACAUCAGCUUUGUUGAACAAUGUUCAAAGUAGAAGCCAUCCGUGUAGGUGUAGAUAAGGGAUAUGAGAUGGGUAUUGGUCAACAAAACUCUGCCUACACAUACAUCUGAAUGCUGAUUCAUGUAUUUGUUUGCUUUGUGUGUGAGUUUAACUACAUUUUUUCUAUUAUGUUCUGCAUUGUUGCAAUCCUGAAUCUGACGUGCCUGUAAGAAGAAGAAGAAGAAGGAAGUGUGUAUUUACAGAUUCGUCCACCGUCAUGGUUACUGAUUCAACAGAGAGCAUGCAUUAACAUCAGCAAUGUAGCUGUGUCAAGUGAAUAGAUGAUGCAAAUUACAAAAUGGCAUUAUUCAAUGACAAAACGUUAAAUUCAACUGAAGUUCUAUAUAUUAUGUAUUCAUUUAUUAAAAAAAUUAAUAAUAAUAUAAAUCUGAGGCUUCUUGUA